rnacentral:piRNA from 1 species
UGAGGAAAAAGUUGAGAUUUUUGUCUUCUC